CAGUCGCCGCGGUAAUACGAAGGGUGCAAGCGUUAAUCGGAAUUACUGGGCGUAAAGCGUGCGUAGGCGGUGAGUUAAGUCUGCUGUGAAAUCCCCGGGCUCAACCUGGGAAUGGCAGUGGAUACUGGCUCGCUAGAGUGUGUCAGAGGAUGGUGGAAUUCCCGGUGUAGCGGUGAAAUGCGUAGAGAUCGGGAGGAACAUCAGUGGCGAAGGCGGCCAUCUGGGACAACACUGACGCUGAAGCACGAAAGCGUGGGGAGCAAACAGGAUUAGAUACCCCAGUAGUCCCUGUCUCUUAUAA
rnacentral:rRNA from 1 species